UUAAGUAAGUAAGGGCGUACGGCGGAUGCCUUGGCCAUAUCAGCCGAAGAAGGACGCGAUAAGCUGCGAUAAGCUGCGGUGAGGUGCAAGUAACCAGUGACCCGCAGAUUUCCGAAUGGGGAAACCCGGCAGUAGUAGUACUGUCACCUCUCGAAUGAGAGGAGGGCACCCGGUGAACUGAAACAUCUAAGUAGCCGGAGGAAGAGGAAUCAAAAGAGAUGCCCCCAGUAGCGGCGAGCGAAGCGGGCAAAGCCCAAACCGGAGCGGGAAACCGCACCGGGGUUGAGGACUACCAACAAGUACCUAGAUGAAGUCGAAUCAGGUGGGAACCUGAGCCAGAGACGGUGAGAGCCCGGUAGACGUAAAGAAGGGUAUGGGGUAGUAUCCAGAGUACCACGGGGCACGAGGAACCUUGUGGGAAGCAGGGGGGACCACCCUCCAAGGCGAAAUACUGAUAUGGACCGAUAGCGCAUAGUACCGUGAGGGAAAGGUGAAAAGAACCCCGGGAGGGGAAUGAAAGAGAACCUGAAACCGUAUGUCUACAAGCAGUCGAAGCACCGUAUGCGUGCGACGGCGUGCCUAUUGAAGAAUGAACCGGCGAGUUAUUUCAUCCGGCGAGGUUAAGCGGAAAACGCGGAGCCGAAGCGAAAGCGAGUCUGAACAGGGCGACAAGUCGGAUGGAAUAGACCCGAAACCACAGUGAUCUAUCCAUGCCCAGGUUGAAGCACAGGUAAAAAUGUGUGGAGGACCGAACCAGUGAGCGUUGAAAAGCUUUUGGAUGAGGUGUGGAUAGGGGUGAAAUGCCAAUCGAACGUGGAGAUAGCUGGUUCUCCCCGAAAUAGCUUUAGGGCUAGCCUCAUGGCAAGAGUGCAGGCGGUAGAGCACUGAACAGGGUAGGGGCCUAUCCGGCUACCGAACCUAAUCAAACUACGAAUGGCUGUACUUAUCCAUGGGAGUCAGACUGCGAGUGAUAAGACCCGUAGUCAAGAGGGAAACAGCCCAGACCAACAGCUAAGGUCCCCAAUGCCGUACUAAGUGGUAAAGGAUGUGGAGUUUCGAAAACAACCAGGAUGUUGGCUUAGAAGCAGCCACCAUUAAAAGAGUGCGUAAUAGCUCACUGGUCGAGAGACUCUGCGCCGAAGAUGACCGGGGCUAAAGUACGGAACCGAAGCUUUGGCAUGUAUGAAAAUACAUGGGUAGGGGAGCGUUCCUGCAUGGGCGAAGCCUGACCGGAAGGACAGGUGGACAGGCAGGAAGUGAGAAUGCCGGUAUGAGUAGCGAAAAGAAAGGUGAGAAUCCUUUCCACCGAAAGCCUAAGGGUUCCUGGGCAACGAUCGUCGACCCAGGGUAAGUCGGGACCUAAUCCGAGGCGAAGACGCAUAGGAGAUGGACAACAGGUUGAAAUUCCUGUACCGACGUCGUCUGUUUGAGCGAUGGAGUGACACAAGAAGGAAAGUUCGCAUGCGAUUGGAAGAGCAUGUCUAAGCAGGUAGGUUGAAUACCAGGCAAAUCCGGUAUUCUAAAAGCCGAGAAGUGAUAGGGAGCCUGUAGAAAUACAGGUGAAGGAACCGGGACUCGAUUGUCAAGAAAAGCUUCUAGUGAGGACGACGCCGCCCGUACCAAAACCGACACAGGUAGGCAAGAAGAGAAUUCUAAGGUGCGCGGGAAAACCCUCGUUAAGGAACUCGGCAAAAUGUAUCCGUAACUUCGGGAAAAGGAUAACCCAGAGUACGUGAAGGAAAGAAACAUCCGGAGCGGGAAUGGGUGGCACAAGAGAGGCCCAAGCGACUGUUUACCACAAACACAGGCGUCUGCUAAAGAGAAAUCUGAUGUAUAGAUGCUGACACCUGCCCGGUGCUGGAAGGUUAAGAGGACGUGUUAGCCGCAAGGCGAAGCAGAGAAUUGAAGCCCCAGUAAACGGCGGCCGUAACUAUAACGGUCCUAAGGUAGCGAAAUUCCUUGUCGGGUAAGUUCCGACCCGCACGAAAGGUGUAACGAUUUGGGCACUGUCUCAACGAGGGACCCGGUGAAAUUGAAGUACCUGUGAAGAUGCAGGUUACCCGCGACUGGACAGAAAGACCCCAUGGAGCUUUACUGUAACCUGAGAUUGAAUUUUGGUAGAAGAUGUACAGGAUAGUUGGGAGACGUAGAAGCGCGCACGCCAGUGUACGCAGAGUCGAUGGUGGGAUACCAACCUUGUUUUAUUGAAAUUCUAACGAGAGCCGUAACGAGGCUGCGGACAGUCUCAGGCGGGCAGUUUGACUGGGGCGGUCGCCUCCGAAAGAGUAACGGAGGCGCCCAAAGGUUCCCU
rnacentral:rRNA from 1 species